rnacentral:lncRNA from 1 species
AUGAGGCUUCAACAAACACAAUAUGGGUGUCCCCAUCUUGUGGGAUCAAGUCCGCCCCAGGCCCGUGAGGCCCUGCUGGUGGAGAAUGGAGGACAGAUGGAGGAAGUGGCCUUUGUGAUGGGACUGGCUGCCUGGAGGCCAAGUGCAGGGUGUGGUGGCAGCCCCAGCUGUGGUUCCUGUGAAGUCAUCCCUUUAUGCAUCUGCCUGAUUUCCUCUCUCAGAUCUGCUGGAAAAGCCCCGAGGAAACCACUAGUGGCCCUGCAGGGACCACAUGCGCCUCCACAUGGCCUCCCGGCUACCCUGGCCCCAGGUCUCGGCCCCAUGUGGGGACCAGAGACGCCUGGUGAAAACCCAGUGGCUUCACAUCUCUCCUGGGCUCCCCCCAGUACUUGGAGGCCUUGAUGACCUGCGUCGUGUGCACUGUCAACCCACCUCCAACCCCCAUGGCAUGCUGGGGAAGUACUCUCUGAAAAAAUAAAGUCAAUAAAAUGUAAAGAAUGGAAAGUCCUAAUUUUAGCACUUGCCAGUUUCUGUGGCUGAUCUCAAGCCAGCAGCACAUCGCUGGAGGCUGAGCUGCACACGGUUACCUGUGAGUCAGCGCAGGCUGUGCAAGCCGGUGCCCGUCAGCUUCUCUGAUCCUCGAGCACAUUCCUCCCCAGGGCCUUCACACCAACUGUGCUCUCGCUGUGGCGUGGGAGCUCCUGCCCCACACCUGCACAGGACUUGCCUCUUCCCUGCUUUCAGGACGUUGUGCAUCAUCCACAGUAACCCUCCUCACUCUCCAGCCCUCUUCUCUGCUUUUUUCCCUCAGAGCAGCUUCCACAGUGCUGGAUUAUCAAGUAAGUUUACAUGUUUGCCUCCCUACUAGAAAGUCACUCCAUGAGGGCAAGGGCCAUGCCUGUCUUGUUUUCCACUUAACUCCAAGCACCUAGCCCAGUGCCUGGCACACAGUAGGAGCUCAAUAAACACCUGUUGAGUGAGCGAUAACUCUCAGCUCAGUAAGCUUGGCUCCCAUGACCUUGAUGUUUAUUUUGUGCAUUGGUUGGAGCCACUCAAUACACCCCACCCCCACAGGAGCCAGUUGGACACACAAACUUCAGCCCCACUCCACUCCCACUCUGCCUGUGCAGCCUUGGUGAGGCUCUCUCCAUCUCUGAGGCUCCUGGAUUUGUCUCCUGUGAGGGAGGAUUAACUAAUAACUUCCACCUCCUGACCUACUGUGGGCACCACAUGGCUGAAUGGAUGGGAAAGCACUUUGCAACUUAUAGCUGCUAAAAUUUAGGAGCUCCCAUCCCCCCACUAUUUCUCAGAAGGAAAGACAUUUUGUAGUUAUUAGAAACAUCCUGAUGCUGCUGCUGCUAAGUCACUUCAGUCAUGUCCGACUCUGUGCGACCCCAUAGACUGCAGCCCACCAGGCUCCCCCAUCCCUGGGAUUCUCCAGGCAAGAACACUGGAGUGGGUUGCCAUUUCCUUCUUCAAUGCAUGAAAGUGAAAAGUGAAAGGGAAGUUGCUCAGUCGUGUCCAACUCUUAGCGACCCCAUGGACUGCAGCCUACCAGGCUCCUCUGUCCAUGGGAUUUUUCCAGGCAAGAAUACUGGAGUGGGUCGCCAGUGCCUCCUCCAUAGAAACAUUCUAGAACUGUCGAAAGUGCUCACAAUCAGCUACACAUGAUGUAAAAGCAUAAAUCAUUCAGUAACAGCUUUUUUAAAAAAAAUCUAGUAGAAAACUUGACUUUUCAUUAUUUUCAUCAAGUAGAAAACUGAGGAAGUGACCUUAACGAAGCAAUCUCCACUUAGAGCAAGUCUUCUUGACCACCAUGUGGAGAUGCUUACCUGGCUCUGUCUUGUCUGGCAAACUUCUUAAAAAAAAAAAAAAAUCUUUCUGUUGUCCCUUCCCCAUUCUUGAGGACUUCAAUACAUUUCAAAAUGAUGCCAGGACCUCCCUGGUGGUCCAGUGGCUAAGACACCAAGCUCCCAAUGCAGGGGGCUUGGGUUCCAUCCCUGGUCGGGGAACUAGAUCCCACAUGCCACAACUAAAGAGCCUGCAUGCCACCACAAAGAUCGAAGACCCCAGGUGCCCACAACUAAGACCCCAUGCAGCUAAAUAAAUAUAUAUUUUUUAAUGUCAUUCUAAAUUCUCCCAGCUCUCAGCUGUCUCUUCCUAGGGAGCCUCUCCCACUGUCCCCUGGGCCCCAUCCCUCUCCACUCAACCUCCUGUCUCUCUUCUGGGUACCUGGAAGGAGUGAUGUCCCAAAGGAAGGAACCAUCUGUCCAGGACCAUGCAGAGUGGCUGGCACAUGACACCCCCUCCCAUGAGCCAGUCAGGCCACGCCUCUGCCACCUCAAGACCCAGAUGAGGGAUUAGAUAACAAUGCCAAAUGAGCUUUCUCUGCCCUACCUAACAUCAUCUAAAAAUUCACCCAAUGUGACAAAAUUAGGAGAGUUCAAGGAAACAGAGAUUUCCCAGCUGUGAACCCCAAUGUCUACUACCAGGGCUGGUUUCUGCUGGUAGGCGUGGCUUCCGGCCAUUAGCAGGCACCCGUGAGGACAGGCUUGGUGUGUUUUGAUCAACUAGACCUCUGAUCAGGUUGGUUGGGGUCUGUGUCAUGUGAGUUAUUCAACAUUUUAAACACCACACCUUCUUCAACAACCACUUGGGACCGAGCAUGCCUCAUUAUCCCCUGGAUUAUUUCCACACCUGAACUCAUGUUUCUGACAGCUGCAUCUUUCAGCACAGCAGGAAAACAAAAGCUAGACACAGAGACAUGCUUGUUGAGACAGACAGCAGCAGCAUGUGGUUCUCCGAGGAGAGGAGAAUGCGUGACUCAACACUCAUUCUAACUAUGACUUCCCUCCUAUCUCACCUGAGUUCAAGCUCCCAGGUUCUCUUGCAGCUAGAAGAGGCCCUGAACCCCAGUUCUAGCUACUGGGCUGUGCAGGAUGCCCUGUCCUA